rnacentral:lncRNA from 1 species
CACAAUGUAGUCUUUAAAGAGUCUUUGUUUAGGGAGAGAUUUCUCCCAAUAAGUUUUAGUAUUUUCAAUUUUAUUUUUAAUAUGUAGGCCGUUUGGCCAAACCAUAUCCAAUAAUAUAUUUUUAGUUUAAUUUUUCAUGUGUCGUCUGAUUCAUCGUCUUAUGGUUUGCAAAUUAAAAGCUUCCGCUUGAUGCCCUCUUGAUUUCGAACCCAACAAGUGGUACCAGAGCUUACGGUUCAAUGGUCCAAUGGUGUGGUGAGACAAGAUUAAACAGGUUCAAAGCGGUUUCAAAAUCAAGUUGCAACAAUUUGAAUGAUAAUGAAGAUUUUUGUCGAACUACAUGUGGAGAACAAGUUUCAACCAUAUUUUCAACACUCCUGCUGCUACAUCUUUAAAAAUAAAAAUAAAAUAUUACUUUUAAACUAAUUUUUAACCAUGAUAUUUUAAACCUUAUUUUUAACCAUGGCAAGUAGCAGUUAUGAAGAUUAUAUCAAGAACGAAGUUUAUGCACGUGAUAUGAAGAGAAGACGGAUCAAGUGAAGAAAAUCAAGCCAAAAAGGAGAGAUUUGUUAGGAUUUUUGCCCUGAUUUUCUUACUAUAUUUAAGUUUUAUUUUUUCUUAGAAGGAAAAUAAAAGUUACCAUAAUUACUUUUACUUUUCCUGAAAGAAAAAAAUAUAAUUUUUUUCCAUAUUUGGCUAACCUCUUUCUUGGAGGAAAGGUUUGAACAUCUAUAAAUAGAAGACCCCCUUCUCAUAUCAUAACACAAUAGCAUUCAUAAUGUAGUCUUUAAAGAGUCUUUGUUUAGGGGGAGAUUUCUCCCAAUAAGUUUUAGGAUUUUCAAUUUUAUUUUUAAUAUGUAGGCUGUUUGGCCAAACCAUAUCCAAUAAUAUAUUUUUAGUUUAAUUUUUCAUGUGUUGUCUGAUUUAUCGUCUAAUGGUUUGCAAAUUAAAAGCUUCUGCUUGACGCCCUCUCAAUUUCGAACCCUACACAAUCCCUACGCUACCACCACAGAUCCCAUUGAAAUCACAAACAUGGAUCGCAAGGUAAAACUUUUAGGGUCGAACCAACAAAAUUUGGGUCAUAACUCUAGCACUAAUAUUUACCCUUUGACAUGAUUCUGAAAAGAAAACAGUCAGAUCUUCCUAUAACA